UCCGUAGGCGGGUAAUUAAGUCAGAGGUGAAAUCCCACAGCUUAACUGUGGAACUGCCUUAGAUACUGGUUAUCUUGAGUUUUAGUGAAGUAGAUAGAAUGUAUAGUGUAGCGGUGAAAUGCAUAGAUAUUACACAGAAUACCGAUUGCGAAGGCAGUCUACUAACUAACAACUGACGCUAAUGGACGAAAGCGUGGGGAGCGAACAGGAUUAGAUACCCUGGUAGUCC
rnacentral:rRNA from 1 species